CCUACGGGGGACAGCAGUGGGGAAUAUUGCGCAAUGGGCGAAAGCCUGACGCAGCGACGCCGCGUGAGGGAUGAAGGUCUUCGGAUCGUAAACCUCUGUCAGCAGGGAAGAACGGUCACUGUGCUAAUCAGCAGUGAAUUGACGGUACCUGCAAAGGAAGCACCGGCUAACUCCGUGCCAGCAGCCGCGGUAAUACGGAGGGUGCGAGCGUUAAUCGGAAUUACUGGGCGUAAAGCGCUCGUAGGCGGUAUGUCAAGGCAAGGGUGAAAUCCCCGCGCUCAACGUGGGAACUGCCUUUGAAACUGGCAGACUGGAGUGUGUGAGAGGAUAGUGGAAUUCCAGGUGUAGGAGUGAAAUCCGUAGAUAUCUGGAGGAACAUCAGUGGCGAAGGCGACUAUCUGGCACAUAACUGACGCUGAGGAGCGAAAGCGUGGGUAGCAAACAGGAUUAGAUACCCGAGUAGUC
rnacentral:rRNA from 1 species